GGAAGAGUGGCAGAGUGGUCGAUUGCAUCGGUCUUGAAAACCGACGAACCGAAAGGUUCCGUGAGUUCGAAUCUCACCUCUUCCGCCA
rnacentral:tRNA from 1 species